AUUAACUGAAUCCAUAGGUUAAUGAGGCGAACCGGGGGAACUGAAACAUCUAAGUACCCCGAGGAAAAGAAAUCAACCGAGAUUCCCCCAGUAGCGGCGAGCGAACGGGGAGGAGCCCAGAGCCUGAAUCAGCAUGUGUGUUAGUGGAAGCGUCUGGAAAGGCGCGCGAUACAGGGUGACAGCCCCGUACACAAAAGCGCAUGUGCUGUGAGCUCGAUGAGUAGGGCGGGACACGUGGUAUCCUGUCUGAAUAUGGGGGGACCAUCCUCCAAGGCUAAAUACUCCUGACUGACCGAUAGUGAACCAGUACCGUGAGGGAAAGGCGAAAAGAACCCCGGCGAGGGGAGUGAAAAAGAACCUGAAACCGU
rnacentral:rRNA from 2 species